AGUGGCGGACGGGUGAGUAACGCGUAAGAAUCUAACUUCAGGACGGGGACAACAGUGGGAAACGACUGCUAAUACCCGAUGUGCCGCAAGGUGAAACCUAAUUGGCCUGGAGAAGAGCUUGCGUCUGAUUAGCUAGUUGGUGGGGUAAAGGCCUACCAAGGCGACGAUCAGUAGCUGGUCUGAGAGGAUGAGCAGCCACACUGGGACUGAGACACGGCCCAGACUCCUACGGGAGGCAGCAGUGGGGAAUUUUCCGCAAUGGGCGAAAGCCUGACGGAGCAACGCCGCGUGAGGGAGGAAGGUCUUUGGAUUGUAAACCUCUUUUCUCAAGGAAGAAGUUCUGACGGUACUUGAGGAAUCAGCCUCGGCUAACUCCGUGCCAGCAGCCACGGUAAUACGGGGGAGGCAAGCGUUAUCCGGAAUUAUUGGGCGUAAAGCGUCCGCAGGUGGUCAGCCAAGUCUGCCGUCAAAUCAGGUUGCUUAACGACCUAAAGGCGGUGGAAACUGGCAGACUAGAGAGCAGUAGGGGUAGCAGGAAUUCCCAGUGUAGCGGUGAAAUGCGUAGAGAUUGGGAAGAACAUCGGUGGCGAAAGCGUGCUACUGGGCUGUAUCUGACACUCAGGGGCGAAAGCUAGGGGAGCGAAAGGGAUUAGAUACCCCUGUAGUCCUAGCCGUAAACGAUGGACACUAGGCGUGGCUU
rnacentral:rRNA from 1 species